UACGUAGGGUGCGAGCGUUAAUCGGAAUUACUGGGCGUAAAGCGUGCGCAGGCGGUUGUAUAAGUCAGAUGUGAAAUCCCCGGGCUCAACCUGGGAACUGCAUUUGAGACUGUACGGCUAGAGUGUAGCAGAGGGGGGUAGAAUUCCACGUGUAGCAGUGAAAUGCGUAGAGAUGUGGAGGAAUACCGAUGGCGAAGGCAGCCCCCUGGGUUACUACUGACGCUCAUGCACGAAAGCGUGGGGAGCAAACAGG
rnacentral:rRNA from 1 species